rnacentral:rRNA from 1 species
UUAGUUUGAUCCCUGCUCAGGACGAACGCGGGCGGCGUGCUUAAUACAUGCAAGUCGAGCGGACCGACGGGAGCUUGCUCCUUUAGGUCAGCGGCGGACGGGUGAGUAACACGUGGGUAACCUGCCUGUAAGACUGGGAUAACUCCGGGAAACCGGGGCUAAUACCGGAUGCUUGAUUGAACCGCAUGGUUCAAUCAUAAAAGGUGGCUUUCAGCUACCACUUACAGAUGGACCCGCGGCGCAUUAGCUAGUUGGUGAGGUAACGGCUCACCAAGGCGACGAUGCGUAGCCGACCUGAGAGGGUGAUCGGCCACACUGGGACUGAGACACGGCCCAGACUCCUACGGGAGGCAGCAGUAGGGAAUCUUCCGCAAUGGACGAAAGUCUGACGGAGCAACGCCGCGUGAGUGAUGAAGGUUUUCGGAUCGUAAAACUCUGUUGUUAGGGAAGAACAAGUACCGUUCGAAUAGGGCGGUACCUUGACGGUACCUAACCAGAAAGCCACGGCUAACUACGUGCCAGCAGCCGCGGUAAUACGUAGGUGGCAAGCGUUGUCCGGAAUUAUUGGGCGUAAAGCGCGCGCAGGCGGUUUCUUAAGUCUGAUGUGAAAGCCCCCGGCUCAACCGGGGAGGGUCAUUGGAAACUGGGGAACUUGAGUGCAGAAGAGGAGAGUGGAAUUCCACGUGUAGCGGUGAAAUGCGUAGAGAUGUGGAGGAACACCAGUGGCGAAGGCGACUUCUCUGGUCUGUAACUGACGCUGAGGCGCGUAGUUGCUUACGUUCC